rnacentral:snoRNA from 1 species
CUCCUCCCAGGGUCACACCUAGAGAGUUUCCAGUACUCUACCAGUCUUGACGAUGGGAGGGAGAGUCAAGCAGAAGCAUAUCCAUUCCAUUCCUAGCUUGGGCAGUGGCUAGUGAGUGGAAGGCAAUCUGCUACAAGC